GUGCUCGCUUCAGAAGCACAUAUUCUAACACUGGAACAGUACAGAGAAGAUUAGCAUGGACUCUGCUCAAGGUGGACACAAAAAUUUAUGAAUUGUCCCAUAAAAAU
ensembl:snRNA U6 U6 spliceosomal RNA